UACGGAGGGUCCAAGCGUUAUCCGGAUUCACUGGGGUUAAAGGGCGCGUAGGCGGUCGUGACAAGUCACUUGUGAAAUCUCCGGGCUUAACUCGGAACGGUCAAGUGAUACUGUCGGACUAGAGUACAGAAGGGGCAACUGGAAUUCUCGGUGUAGCGGUGAAAUGCGUAGAUAUCGAGAGGAACACCUGCGGCGAAGGCGGGUUGCUGGGCUGAUACUGACGCUGAGGCGCGAAAGCCAGGGGAGCGAACGGG
rnacentral:rRNA from 1 species